GACGUAGGGCGCGAGCGUUGUCCGGAUUUAUUGGGCGUAAAGAGCUCGUAGGCGGCUUGUCGCGUCGGCUGUGAAAACCCGCGGCUCAACUGUGGGCGGGCAGCUGAUACGGGCAGGCUGGAGUUCGGUAGGGGAGAGUGGAAUUCCUGGUGUAGCGGUGAAAUGCGUAGAUAUCAGGAGGAACACCGGUGGCGAAGGCGGCUCUCUGGACCACAACUGACGCUGAGGCGCGAAAGCUAGGGGAGCAAACAGG
rnacentral:rRNA from 1 species